AUUGAACGCUGGCGGCAUGCCUAACACAUGCAAGUCGAACGGCAGCACGGGGGCAACCCUGGUGGCGAGUGGCGGACGGGUGAGGAAUGCAUAGGAAUCUGCCCAGUUGUGGGGGAUAACGUAGGGAAACUUACGCUAAUACCGCAUACGACCUACGGGUGAAAGAGGGGGACCUUCGGGCCUCUCGCGAUUGGAUGAGCCUAUGCCGGAUUAGCUAGUUGGCGGGGUAAGAGCCCACCAAGGCGACGAUCCGUAGCUGGUCUGAGAGGAUGAUCAGCCACACUGGAACUGAGACACGGUCCAGACUCCUACGGGAGGCAGCAGUGGGGAAUAUUGGACAAUGGGCGCAAGCCUGAUCCAGCAAUGCCGCGUGUGUGAAGAAGGCCUUCGGGUUGUAAAGCACUUUUGUUUGGGAAGAAAUCCGGUUGGUUAAUACCUGAUCGGGAUGAC
rnacentral:rRNA from 1 species